rnacentral:lncRNA from 1 species
GGUUUGAAGCAUGCAUAUGUAUUUCAAAAUUUAAUUUUCUAAAUACCACAGUAGAGAAUAAGAUUAAAAUAAUUUUAAUCUAAAUUUUUUAUGCAUAAAAAUAUAAAAUCAUAUGGAUCUAUUUCAUAUGCUGAAAUUGAUAUAUAUUGAAAUUUAGAUUGUGAUCAAAUCACAUACCUGUUUCGCAAUCUCUUUCUUCAAAUU